rnacentral:tRNA from 1 species
GCGUGGAUGGCUCAGUUGGUUGAGUGUCUGACUUCGGCUCAGGUCAUGAUCUCAUGGUCUGUGGGUUUGAGCCCCACGUCGGGCU